AGGGCUAUAGCUCAGUUAGGUAGAGCACCACGUUUACACACCGAGAAGUUCUACGGUUCGAGUCCGUUACAAUAAA
rnacentral:tRNA from 1 species